GUGGGGAAUCUUGCGCAAUGGGCGAAAGCCUGACGCAGCCAUGCCGCGUGAAUGAUGAAGGUCUUAGGAUUGUAAAAUUCUUUCACCGGGGACGAUAAUGACGGUACCCGGAGAAGAAGCUCCGGCUAACUUCGUGCCAGCAGCCGCGGUAAUACGAAGGGGGCUAGCGUUGCUCGGAAUUACUGGGCGUAAAGGGCGCGUAGGCGGACAGCUUAGUCAGAGGUGAAAGCCCAGGGCUCAACCUUGGAAUUGCCUUUGAUACUGGCUGUCUUGAGUUUGGGAGAGGUGAGUGGAAUUCCGAGUGUAGAGGUGAAAUUCGUAGAUAUUCGGAGGAACACCAGUGGCGAAGGCGGCUCACUGGCUCGAUACUGACGCUGAGGUGCGAAAGCGUGGGGAGCAAACAGGAUUAGAUACCCUUGUAGUCC
rnacentral:rRNA from 1 species